GGGCGCAUAGCUCAGUGGUAGAGCGUUGCAUUCACAUUGCAAAGGUCGAAGGUUCGAUACCUUCUGCGCCCA
rnacentral:tRNA from 1 species